AACAUCGAUGGCCUUUUGAACGUU
rnacentral:siRNA from 1 species